GUAUCAAUCAAAUCUAAUCAUAAAUAAAGAAGUUAUGGCAAUUUAAGCAAAAUUUAAUAAUUUAACCUUGAGAGUCAAGGUCAUUCAAAGGUCAAAGUAAAAUUCAAGUUGCCAGGUACAGUAACCUCAUGAUAGCAUGUAAGUAUUUGAAGUUUGAAAGCAAUAGCCUUGAUACUUAAGAAGUAAAGUGGAUCGAAACACAAAAUUUAACCAUAUAUUAAAAGUUACUAAGUCAAAAAAGGGCCAUAAUUCCGUAACAAUGACAACCAGAGUUAUGCAACUUGUCCUUUUACUGUACCCUUAUGAUAGUUUGUGAGUGUUCCAAGUAUGAAAGCAAUAUCUAUGAUACUUUAGGGGUAAAGUGGACCAAAACAUAAAUCUUAACCAAAUUUUCAAUUUUCUAAGUAUAAAGGGCCCAUAAUUCCGUCCAAAUGCCAGUCAGAGUUACAUAACUUUGCCUGCACGGUCCCCUUAUGAUAGUUCAUAAAUCUUGCAAGUAUGAAAGCAAUAGCUUUGAUACUGUAGGAAUAAAGUGGACCUAAACACAAAACUUAAUCAAAUUUUCAAUUUUCUAAGUAUAAAAAGGGCACAUAAUUCUGUCAAAAUGCCAGUCAGAUUACAUUACUUUGCCUGCACAGUCCCCUUAUGAUAGUUAGUAAGUGUUGCAAGUAUGAAAGCAAUAGCUUUGAUGCUUAAGGAAUAAAAUGGACCUAAACACAAAACUUAACCAAAAUUGUCAAUUUUCUAAGUAUAAAAAGGGCACAUAAUUCUGUCAAAAUGCAUGCCAGAGUUAUCUAACUUUGCCUGCCCAGUCCCCUCAUGAUAGUAAGUAAGUGUACCAAGUUUGAAUGCAAUAGCAUUGAUACUUACUGAGAAAAGUGGAACUAAACGCAAAACUUAACCAAAAUUUUCAAUUUUUUAAGUAUAAAAAGGGCACAUAAUUCUGUCAAAAUGCACACCAGAGUUAUCUAACUUUGCCUGCCCAGUCCCCUCAUGAUAGUAAGUAAGUGUACCAAGUUUGAAUGCAAUAGCAUUGAUACUUUCUGAGAAAAGUGGACCUAAACGCAAAACUUAACCGGACGCCGACGCCAACGCCAACGCCAACGCCGACGCCGACGCCGACGCCAAGGUGAUGACAAUAGCUCAUAA